AUUCUAACCAGGCUGGCAGCUGAUUAGAUGGUGCCCACUCAGAUUAAAGGUAUUGGGAGAAGGAGAGGCUGUCAACCCACGCCACUAUGCUAUCUCUAACUCUGCCAUCCAGACCGAGCAAACGUACUUAAGACCUUUGUGUAAGAUCAGAAAAUCAUAAGACAGCAUUAAAAGUACUAUACAGGAGGAGAUGGAACAAGAUGGCCAAAUAGAAGCCUCCAGCAAUCAUCUCCCCCAAAGGAAUUGAACAACUAUCAAAACAAAAUUGAACAACUAUCUAAACAAAAAAAGUACCUUCAUAAAAAGCAAAAAUCAGGACACAGUGUUCUGCCUCUCCUGAGUAAGCAGCAACAAGGCACCAUCUUGGAAUCAGAGGGCAGCCCUCACCAGACAACUAAAUCUGCAGACACCUUGGACUUCCCAGCCUCCAGAACUGUCUUUCUGGCAACUGUCUAAACAUAAACCAGAGAAGGGCAAGGCAGACUCAGGAAGGACAAAUAGAAGGCUAUUUUCAUAAAUCGGGCAUACAAUGGUGGACAAAACAGCUGCCUUUCUUCCCCGUAUGGAGCUUACAGUAUAGUGAAUAUUUCAUGGGACUAGUAUCUACAGAAGGUGUUUUGGGAAGCACAGCUUUGGAGAGAGUAAUUUGCCAACAUUGCACAGAAUAAAGGCACCAUGAGGGCCCAAGGAAGGAAAAGAUUUGCAGCUGUCUUG
rnacentral:sRNA from 1 species